AUGGCACAAGGCGUCUGCCAGGGCCCCAUGUGCUGUGGCUCUCGAGCAAACACCAGUUGGGUGGCUACAGCUGCAGAUGCAGAGAUCGUAGCUGGAGUCCUGAAAAGGCCAGUGGGAUGGGACGAUGACAACAAAGAUGCUUCAGAAGAGAUACAUGGAAGGUGGCUUCAUAACAAGCCUUGCAUACUACAGGUGAGUUUAGAUCUCUUUCUGGGUCUUUAUCUACACACAUCCAGGCUUUAUAUGUUGCAAGAUUUGGAGCUGGCUGUCAGAGGUGUCAGGUUGUCUGCCACCCAGCAUUAGAGAAUUGUGACCACUCAAUCCAGAGGAGAGUCGCAAAAGUCAUCUGGCCGUGGACAGGCCGGGCCGCAGAGACUGCAGGACAAGCCGGAGCAGGGAACUUCCCAGACAGCCCCAGCCACGGCUAACCUAAGAGCUGUGGGAGGGCUUUGAUCCUCUGGCUGAAACCCACUGUGCUGUGCUUGAUUUGUUUCCUUGGCUAUAACCUUUGGAACAAAAGGGAAUUCUGUUUCUAGAUUCUGUAGGAUAAUCCCUCACUAGAUGACCAUUCCUAGAAACUUACCCCAAACCUUGAAUAGUGAUAGCAUUGGAGGUGGCCUGACCAACAUCACAUGAACCUGAAAAGAAUUAGGACAAUUUAUUUUCAAAGAUGUUUAGGAUUUGACCUUAAUAAGUUAACAUGUCUGAUGUUUGGAAAAUGACAUUGUGUUUCCCAUGGAUCAUGUGAAGGGAGUUUCCAACUGGGACUUUAUUUUUAGAGAUAAGAGUCUUGCUCUGUCACCCAGGCUGGAGUGCAGUGGCCUAAUGACAACUCACUGCAUCCUGGGUGAGGAUCAAGCGAUCCUCCUAGCUCAGCCUCCUGAGUGGUUGGAACUAUAGGUGUACACUGCCAUGACCAACUAAUUAAAACAAAAUUUUUUUCUAGAAAUGGGGUCUCACUAUGUUGCCCAGGCUGGUCUUAACUUUCUGCGCUCAAGUGAUCCUCUCAGCCUCCCAAAGUGCUGGGAUUAUAGGUGUGAGCCACUGCACCCAGCCCCACCUGGGAUUUCCAGUCUUAAUGGUACUUGGACAUGAUCUUGCUUUAUGGAUAAUUUGUUUUACUUUCUGCUUUUUUGUUUGUGGGAUUCCUAACUUUUAAAAAUUCUACCUUUUUCAUAGGCAUUCUGGAGAUAGAAACCAUUAGGCCUAGAGCUUAGGAGUCAUGCUGAAGACUGGCCACAGGACAGGUUCUGUCUUCGAAGUGCUGUUUCUGUCCAGUGUGUGAACUGGCGGAGUGCCGGGCACAGCACUGCCAGCCCCUGGCGCCUCCCCCACCCCACUGCCAUCUGCAAGGAGCCCUCGCCUGUCCCGGUGUGCAUGGCGGCUUCGGGGGAAAGCCAGGGGCUCCCGCAACGCUGGCUGCUGUGUCCCAACACAUUCAGUGUUCCUUUAGGUCAAGAAGACAUUUCAAGGACUCAUUCCCGCCUUAGAAACCACUGAACAAAAAUGUGUUACUAAGACCCAUGCCUGGAUAAUGAAUAAAAUGUGGUGUAGACAUACAAUGGAGUAUUUUUUAGCCUUAAAAGGAAGGACAUCCUGCCACAUGGAUGAACCUUGAACACUUUGUGCUACGUGAAAUCAGUCAAACACGAAAAGACACGUGCUGUAAGAUCUCACUUGGGAGAAGUCCGCAGAGUCAUCGCGUUCAUAGGGACAGAGAGUAGAGCGGCGGUUGCCAGAGGCUGCGGAGGGGAGAUGGGCAGCUAGUGUUCAGGGGCGCAGAGUUCCAGUUUGGGAGAUGAAAAAGUUCUGGAGAUGGAAGGUGCUGAUGGCUGCACAACAGCGUGCACUCAAAAAUAGUUAAAAUGGUGAAUUUUGUUAUGCAUGUUUUACUACAAUAAAAAAAGUUAGAAAAGAAACGUGUCCGUAGGGCAGGAAGCAUAAGCAGGACCAGAGUGAGUCAGGAGAGGCGAGUACCAGGCCGAAUGAAGUACUUGAGGACGCCCGUGAGCUGCGGGUCCUCGUUGACGUUGAGCAGGU
ensembl:lincRNA